rnacentral:rRNA from 1 species
AUUGAACGCUGGCGGCAGGCCUAACACAUGCAAGUCGAGCGGAGCGGCGGACGGGGGAGUAAUGCCUAGGAAUCUGCCUGGUAGUGGGGGAUAAAGUCCGGAAACGGGCGCUAAUACCGCAUACUAGCAGAGGAGCAUAGGUCGGAUUAGCUAGUUGGUGGGGUAAAGGCCUCCCAAGGAGACGAUCCGUAACUGGUCUGAGAGGAUGAUCAGUCACACUGGAACUGAGACACGGUCCAGACUCCUACGGGAGGCAGCAGUGGGGAAUAUUGGACAAUGGGCGAAAGCCUGAUCCAGCCAUGCCGCGUGUGUGAAGAAGGUCUUCGGAUUGUAAAGCACUUUCAGCGGGGAGGCGUUACCCGCAGAAGAAGCACCGGCUAACUCCGUGCCAGCAGCCGCGGUAAUAC